AAGAAUAUAAAAGACUGAACAAAAACAGUAGUAACAAGAGUGACAGGUUCAAAUUCUAAAUUAUAGCACCCAUGAAAUGUAUCUCAUGUGAAAAAUAGGCCACAAGUUAUUGUAGCUUAGAUACCAGUAACAACACACCAAAUAUAAUAGCUGACAUGCACAAAGCACAUGAAAUACUAUAUGAAACAGACCUACUUCCACAUAGAAAAAUAGAACCACAAAUGCCUUAAGCAACAGUUUCAACAACAGUAUCUGAAGGCUUGUUUUCAGGCUCAGCUGAAUCAACAAUUGCAGCUUCUGAAGGCUUGUUUUCAGGCUCAGCUGAGGCAACAGUUGCAGCUUCUGAAGGCUUGUUUUCUGAGGCAACAGGUGCACUUUCUAAAGGCUUGUUUUUAGAUUGUGGUGCUUCAUCCACCCAGAAUGCAGUCUUCUUCCCAGAUUUGG
rnacentral:lncRNA from 1 species